GUCAAUAUGUUUGAGUGGUUAAGGAGAUAGACUUGAAAUCUGUUGGGCUUUGCUUGUGCAGGUUCAAAUCCUGGUGUUGACG
rfam:Ipomoea nil DNA, scaffold: scaffold1110, cultivar: Tokyo-kokei standard.